ACUGAGCACUGCGGGUUGCGGCUACCCGGGCGUGGCCCGGACCUCGGCCUCCCCUUCCCCGCACACUCCCGAGAGGAGCCCUCUACCUUGGGGUGGGCAGGAGGGAAGGCGGGGGGUGGCGGCUGGCAAGCUGCCAACACUCGGGGCGCGCUGCGGCGGGGAAGGGGUUGGCGCGGCCGGGCAGCUGCGCAGGGCUGCGCGGCGGAGGCAGCGAUUAAAAUGUCCCGGCGCCUCUCCCGAGAGCCGCGACGGCCCGGAGCCGGGAGGGAAAGCUCCACGCACAAACACCGCCCCCUGCACAAUUAGGGCGAAGAUGACGGCUGCAAAGUUGUUGCGUAACACGACUGGGAAACGAGGCUCGCUGAGGUCCAUCUACCCACCCCCGCCACGCGGGUGCGGCGUUCCUCGGAGGAUGUGAAGGUCCGCGCUCGGGUGCCCCCGCUGGGACGCCCACUGUCGUUUGGUGCUGGGGCUUGAGACGACCGCGCGGGAUCUCUUCCUGUGAUUUUGAGCUGAUAGCUGCUUAGUGUUAUUUCUGCGUCUAACUGGAUACGGUAGUCUUCUCUCCCAAAUUCCCGGGCUACGGAAGAGACGUAAAAAAAUGGAAAAAAGAGCACCUAGCCGCGACUUCUUAAGUCGUCGCGCUAGACUGUCAAGGCACGUGGCACACUCCCUGCGUUUACCGAUACACGGAUAGUGGUCAGUGCUGGCCUUGGCGAAGGGAGCCAUGUUCCCGACAGUGACUCACAGGCUUGCCCAAAUACGGAGUGUGGCAGGUGGGCAGGACCUCCACCAGCCAGCUCCCUCCUGGUCUCCUUGAACUACGUGGGGGCUGGGCCGAGUGCCUCCACGACUUUCCACUUCUUUUUGCUCCUUUCGUUUUUAAAAAGCAAAAACCAAAGUAAAGAGAAGAGCAGAGUGAACACCCAGGGAGGAAGUGUGAAAGGUAUCUGAGAUACCAGCUUAGAAAACAACUCUUUAGCUCCUCCUGGUGAUUAGGACACCACUAAACAACAGGAUGAAGGAUCUGUCCCCAGGGCCGAAGUGAUGAUGUAUCUAAUAUUAUAUCCUAGAACAUUCACAGAGUAGGUGCAGAAUGUCUUGAGCUGGAACAUCCCCAAGAGGCCAUAUAUAUAUCCCAGGGAUUUUACAGUGGACCUCACUAGGCCGGAGUAACUGUAAAGUCAGAUGGAUAAUGAGAAUUCAGGACGUUAGCCACACGUGGACUGUGGCAAAAAGAAAGUGACCCACUGAAGAAGACUGUUUUUCAGCUCUCUCAUCAAUUGCUGUUUCCAGGAGCCCACAGCUCCAAUUACUCAAAAGAACGUUGACUUUUUUUUUUUUGGUAAAAUAUCCUGAUUUUCAGGUUAGGCAAGCAAUUCAUUAAAAAAUAAAAGACUGCACA
rnacentral:lncRNA from 10 species